rnacentral:lncRNA from 1 species
CGGGCGCCACUUUGCUCUGCUUGUCCCACGCCCAUGGAGGGGGGACACCGUCCGGAAGUGAAGGAAGGCGGAAGGGAAGGCGGAGACCGGCAAGAGAGGGGAGAAGGCCCGGGGAAGACGCUCGGGACCAAGAUGCGGGGCCCGGGUGCGAGCAGCUGAACCUCUCGGCCCCCAGGCGUGGUGACCUGGGUGGCGACGCUCGUGGAGGCCGAGGAGCUUCUGGACCGGCGCUUCGGGGGACCAAGUGGAGAGGCUGCUGGAGUUGUCGCCUGAGUCCUCCCUUAGUUCUUCGCGCCGGCCUCGCCCACGGCUCCGGGUCCCAGCCGCCACUGCAGUCUCCGCAGCACCGAGCGGGGCUCCACCGACUCGCGACCUCCAGCCUCCGCCUCAAGGGCAGGGAGCGCGGCUGGGUCUCUGGAAAGCCAUUUUUAAAUCACUGCCUCUGCUGCCCCCAUGUGAGGUCGGAGUGUCCUCCCCCGUCUUUGCUUUCAGGUUCUUUCAGGUUCCUUUGGGCAAACCCGCAGCUAAGAGUCCAGCUUGUGAACUUGAACCUGAACUUGCUGAAGAAGCUCCCGGCGGCCCCCUGCUGUCUGCGGCCUUUGUUUGAGGGAGAGGCUGGGGUCACCCGGUUGGGCCGCAUUUCCGGGGCCGUCACCUGUCGGGCUGCCAGGCCGCGCGUACCUUGUCCCAUCGGGGGCUCUGCUCUGCCCCCUGCGCUGAUGACGCGGGUGGAAGGGAGGUAUCAGGGGCACUCUGGGGAGCUGUACCUGGCGGGCACCCCCCAGCUGCUCUCCGUGGGGUACGACACCGAGACCUGGUUGGGCUGCAAGGAGACCGACUGGGAUUCCCGGGCUGGUGGCCGGGGAGACGAAGGCGGGGGGUGAGAGGCAGGAACCCAGGAGGCCCCAGGCCCAGCGCUGUGGGGCUGCUGUUGUCGUUCUGCGUGGAGGUCUGGCCAAACUGGCUUUUGCCCCGAGUGAGGAAUUCCUGCUCUUUUUUGGUUUUGGUAAGAGGUCGCUAUUCACAGAGGGGGCGGGGUUCGUCCCCUCCAGGCGAGUACGGGGCUGGCGGGCGCAGUGCUGCCUUUCUGCUCUGUCUCUUGAUCCCGCUUAGGAUCUUUGUGGCUCCUCUGAGUCUUCUUAGAGAGGCCGUGAAAGAUGGGAAAGGCAGGUUGCUGAAACGCUGCUGCUCGGGGCUGGCAGAGACCCUGGUAUAGGGAAGGCGCACCACUGUGGGUCAGAUCAGCUGACAGUGGGGGUUUUAGGUGAUGGGGUAACCUUACAGUUCGGAUCUCUUAGAACCCAGAAGCAGGUAGGCGAUCGCUGCUUCAUCACACUUCACAGGGAGUCCUGGAUCUUUCCUGUCCGUAACCCAUGGACGCCAUGAUUCAGUAUGGCGGAGGUCCGGGGCUUAAGUUCCUGUUCAUGCUUCCUAAUCAUUCAUGGAUCCAUCACAAUGUGCUCUGAAGGGCCUCUCUUGCUGGGAUUGAGAAGGAUACAUUUUUUGAGCAGGUUUUUAUACUCAAUGGACAUGUAGAAGGGAAUAUAUUCUACUCAGUUCCCCUCCUGCAGCUCCUUGAAAUUCUGUCCAUCAAAAGCAGGGAUCUGCUGACCAGAGGUGACUGCCACAGAAGGUAUCCAGUUUGUAAAAGCUGAAUUUGUUGCUGAAGCCAGAAUUUGCAAUCUUGAUGUUUGUGUUAACAUCCAAGAGCGUGUUUUCUGCCUUUAAAUCUCUGUGGACAAUACGUUUCUGGUGACAGCUUGCACAGCAGACACUUUUGGUAGAAUUUGCUUCAGUCCUUUUUUUUUCUUUCCUGCUGCCAUGAGCAGGUAUUCACAAACUUCUCCUCCUGGCUAGUGUGCUUCAUGACAAAGCAAAGAGAUUCCUCAAUAUCGAUCACAGCAAAUGUUUCACUAUGUUGGGGUGAUCCGAGCCUUCAUGGUUCCUACUUUGUGGAUGGUGUCUGGAGGAGAUCUGCUGAGUCUCAUCAAUGAACUUCACAGCUGCUGCUUUCCCAGUUAAGAGGUCCCAGGCCAACCUUACCUUAGCCAGGUUGCCCUUGACGAUGGUCUCAAGGAUCCUAGCUGCCAGUAAGGGUCCCUUCUCAGCAGAGAUGGCUGAGAGGCCCUGUGGCAUGUGAGACUUACUGCUGGGCUUGGAGUCAAGGUGUCCCAGGUCAGCUUAAUUUCGGGAAAAACUGGUAAGACGCUUGGUUCAAAUCACUUGAAAAGAAAAUCACUUGCAUAGUUCACCUGAAGAAUGGAUCUCUAUAAUGGAAUUAAAGCACAAUGCUGGACAAAAAGUAAGAAAAAGCAACAAACUGAAAGGAAAAAUUGAGUAAAAAGAAUAAAGAACUAGAACUGGCAACCUCAGCCAAGCCAGGGAAUUACAUACAUCUUGGAAUUCCAAAGCAAUGCUUCCUUAUGAGGGCAUAGGAAGAAAUAAAUCUAAUAACAAGGCUGGGAUUAAUUCACGUGGUUUUCUCACAUUUUGGUCUCAAGAACUUUUUACUCUAAAACUAAUUAUUGAGGACCCCAAAGAGCUUUUUAUGUGGGUUAUAGUUAUCAGUAUUUACUUUAUUGGAAAUUAAAACCUGUAGGAUGUUUCAGUGGUCUUUUCUAGUUUGAAGGGUUUAAUAAUUUUUGGCUUUUAAAGAGCCCAUAAUCAAUUAAAAUAUUUUAUUUUCCUUUAAAUUGUAAAUGAUUGGUGUCAUAAUGAUGCUACAACUUAACUGGCAUUACAAUACUAUACAAAUACGUUCUAUUGUAUAAGUCACAAUAAGGUACAUUAUUAACUCUAUAACAUUUAGGGGAAGAUAGCUGUUAUCAUAUUAUUUAAAGUUUUGCCUAGUUUCUUUGUAGUAGACUUAUCUUUUCCAGGAGCCAGAGAACCCGCUAUAUCAGUUUCAGUAUCUUUAAAUGUAGAGAUUGCAGCUGUGUGUUGAGAAAGCACGUUUCACUUAGCAUGGGAUGGGGACUUCGAGGUACUGGAUAUGUCACUGGCACCUCAGGGGAGGAAACCAAGAUGCCCCUAUAUGAUUUUAAACAUGGUUUAUUAAAGCGUGAUACAGAAAAGUGCACAAAUUGUCCACCUACAGCUUGGUGACUGUUCACAAAUUGAACUCAUCUAACUAGCCUCCAGAAUAAGAAACAGGCCUUUACACACCCCCACCAGCCUCCCAAUCCCCUUUUCAGUCACCUUCUCUGCAGUGAUAACCACUAUUCUAUAUUCUGACAGCAUAGUUUCACUUGUUUUUUAACUUCACAUAAAUGGGAUCAGACAGUAUUGAAUCCUUUGUGUCUGCUUCCUUCACUCAAUAUUUUCCUGAGAUUUUUCUAUAUUGUUUAUUCUAAAUGCCCAUUGUACGACUGUAACACAAUUUGUUUAUCCAUUUUACUGUUCUUGGGCAUUUGGGUAGUUCUCACUGUGGAUGCUAAGAAGAGUGUUGCUAUAAACAUUCAGGUCUUUUGGUAAGCAUAUACCUGGCUUUCUGUUGGCUAUUUAUACCUAGAAAUAGAGUUGCUGGCUUAUAAGGUAUGCAUAUUUUUAGUUUUAGUAGACAUUGCAGUUUGUACCAAUUCACCCACCCACCAAUGUGAAUAUCUAAUAUUGCCUGCCUGUCUGUACGUGUGUACUGGUAUAGCAUUGUGGUUUUAAUUUGCAUUUUCCAGUGCCUAAUGAAAUAAAGCACCUUUUAAUAUG